GUCUAGCAUAAACAAAUCAUUAUGCAAUGUUUCUCUCGUGAUGAUCUCACCAUCUAAUAAUAUUGAACAACUAUUAUUCUCAAAAACUAAUUUAUAUCCACUAAUUAUCAAAAAUAAAAUAGAAAUAAUAUUUUUGAUAAUAGAAGGAACAAAAUAGCAUGCAUCUAAUGCAAUAAUAGCUCCAUCAGGCAUAUGUAGG
rnacentral:lncRNA from 1 species